UAGGGAAUCUUCCACAAUGGGCGAAGCCUGAUGGAGCAACGCCGCGUGUGUGAUGAAGGCUUUCGGUCGUAAAGCACUGUUGUAUGGGAAGAACAGCUAGAAUAGGAAAUGAUUUUAGUUUGACGGUACCAUACCAGAAAGGGACGGCUAAAUACGUGCCAA
rnacentral:rRNA from 1 species